rnacentral:misc_RNA from 1 species
AACGCACAUUGCGCCCCCUGGCAUUCCGGGGGGCAUGCCUGUCCGAGCGUCAUUGCUGCCCAUCAAGCCCGGCUUGUGUGUUGGGUCGUCGUCCCCCCCGGGGGACGGGCCCGAAAGGCAGCGGCGGCACCGUGUCCGGUCCUCGAGCGUAUGGGGCUUUGUCACCCGCGCGACUAGGGCGGGCCGGGCUGCAGGCGACGUCUCCAACCAUUUUUCUCCAGGUUGAGCUCGGAUGAGGUAGGGAUACCCGCUGAACUUAA